AUACUUACCUGGACGGGGUCAAUGGGUGAUCAAGAAGGCCCAUGGCCUAGGCUUGUGACUUCCAUUGCACUUUGGAAGGGUGCUAGCCUAAGGUCUACCCAAGUGGUAGAGCCUAUGUCAUAAUUUGUGAAAGAGGGGGCCUGCGUUCGCGCGGCCCCUGC
rfam:Lupinus angustifolius cultivar Tanjil chromosome LG08, whole genome shotgun sequence.